ensembl:lncRNA
CAGGUGGCGACGUUGCUUGCGAAUCCUAUUGCUUUGCCUCCUGCACCAAGAAGCUAGAAUGCAUUGCAUUACACGUUGGGGAGACAGUAGACACGGACCAAAGCCGCAUAAACCCUUGAGAGUAGAGACUGGAACGACGUCCUCCGGGAAAUACCUUCCCAGAGUUAUGCCUUCAAUUGAGGUCUCCAUUUUCUAUCGAUUGUCUCCACAUCUCCAUCUGAGGCACCAUCCGAAUCCAGGCAGAAAUCUCAAGAGUUCUAAAGUAACAGGCCAGGGCUACCGAGGAAACGUGGGAAAACAUCCAGGACUGUGAAGGAGUUUUCCUGGUCUUGAACCAGUGUCUGGCGGUAUUGAAAUGUUGCCCUCAUCUUCUCUUUCGACAAUUGUUGCAUCAGUCGUGUGCUUCAAUAAAGAGAUCGCCUCGCGGCAUUCCUCACCAAACAGUUGCUUGUCAGUUAGGAGACAAUCCCCCUUGCUCUUUGGACCAUCUUGAUAUGUAGUGCUGGUUGAGCAUCUCCGGGACUGAACUACAGAGUUGCGUUGGACUGUCUUUAUCCUCCAUGCCGAAUAGCCAGACCCGUUAUUUGCAUCAUAUUAGUGUUCCUGUAAAAUCCAAAAAGAACAAAGAUAAACAUAACUAAUGGGUCACAGCAUUACAGUGCAAAUUCAGAAUAAC